GAGAAGGCUGUGACUGCUGUGCUCUGGGCGCCAGCUCACUCCAGGGAGUGAUGGGAAUCCUGUCAUUCUUACCUGUCCUUGCCACUGAGAGUGACUGGGCUGACUGCAAGUCCCCCCAGCCUUGGGGCCAUAUGCUUCUGUGGACAGCUGUGCUAUUCCUGGCUCCUGUUGCUGGGACACCUGCAGCUCCCCCAAAGGCUGUGCUGAAACUCGAGCCCCAGUGGAUCAACGUGCUCCAGGAGGACUCUGUGACUCUGACAUGCCGGGGAACUCACAGCCCUGAGAGUGACUCCAUUCAGUGGUUCCACAAUGGGAAUCUCAUCCCCACCCACACGCAGCCCAGCUACAGGUUCAAGGCCAACAACGACAGCGGGGAGUACACGUGCCAGACUGGCCAGACCAGCCUCAGCGACCCUGUGCAUCUGACUGUGCUUUCUGAGUGGCUGGUGCUCCAGACCCCUCACCUGGAGUUCCAGGAGGGAGAAACCAUCGUGCUGAGGUGCCACAGCUGGAAGGACAAGCCUCUGGUCAAGGUCACAUUCUUCCAGAAUGGAAAAUCCAAGAAAUUUUCCCGUUCAGAUCCCAACUUCUCCAUCCCACAAGCAAACCACAGUCACAGUGGUGAUUACCACUGCACAGGAAACAUAGGCUACACGCUGUACUCAUCCAAGCCUGUGACCAUCACUGUCCAAGCGCCCAGCUCUUCACCGAUGGGGAUCAUUGUGGCUGUGGUCACUGGGAUUGCUGUAGCGGCCAUUGUUGCUGCUGUAGUGGCCUUUAUCUAUUGCAGGAAAAAGCAGAUUUCAGGUUUGUAGCUCCUCCCGGUCCCUUUUGUUAUCAGUUUCCACUUGGCCCAGGCCCUAACCCCAGACAUUGCCAGAAUCCCUCUCUUUGAGCUAGAUACACAUUCAGAUCUAGGCCCGUAUUGUAUUAUAGUCAUUCAUUCAUUUAUUAGAUCAUUCAUUUGACAAGACUUGAACAAACUAGCUUAUGUGUCAGCCAAUGCGUGAGACGUGGUGGGUGAUGCCAAGAUGAAGUCCAGUCCCUGCCCUUGGGGAGUUCUCAGCAUUGUGAGGAAGACAGGGUCAUUAUAAUAAGAUGGGAUAAGAGCAAUGAUAGGGACAUGAAAAGCCUAGGAUAGAAGUACAGAGGAGGCUCCAUAGCCCAACAAGGGCUGAGGCAGUUGGAGAAGGUCUCGGGGAGAGCAGUGUAGUGUAGUGAUGGAGUGCACACAGUGGGGCCAGACUGCCUGGGUUCAAAUCUAGUUCUACAGCAUACCAACUAUAUGACCCAAGUGAGUCACUCCACCUCUCUGUGCCUCACCUGUCUCAAGUGGAAAAUGGGGACACUAAUAGGACUUACCUCACAGGGUUGCCAUGGGGAUGAAAGAGGCUGAUGCUCUUACACAGUGCCUGGUAGGCAGGAACAGCACACAAACAGGGCUGUUGCCAUUCUGGAGGAGGUGGUAUGUGAGGGCAGCGCUUAGCUAGGGAAGGAGGACUCUCCAGGCACUGGGCCAAGGCAGGGAUUGAAGCUGGGUGGGGCUCAUAUGGGUGUCGAAGGGGGAGUAGAGAGGGUACUGCAAGCCACCAAGAAAGAAAUAAUCCCACUAACACCUCACAAAGCACUUUGCAAUUGGUUCAUAGCCAACACCUCAGUUACUGAUGGUAAGUAAAUACAGAGAAACAGAGAGAGAGAGAGAGAGACUGAGACACAGGGGGUGUUUUUAAAAGGCAGAGCAAGCCUCAGACAGAUGCCAUGGAGUGGCCUUUCUGACACUCCUGGGCAUCCCCACGGGUGAGCUGAAUUCUGCCUCUGGACCAGCCCUUUUCCAGGCGGGAGCGGCCCCUGAGCAGGGGAGAUGGGGGUGGGAGGACAGGAAACAUCUGCCAGAGGGAAGGCCUGAGCUGGUCCCAUCCAACCCUGGCCCUGGUCCUUGGUCCUGAGGACUCAGGCCCCACUGCCUAAUCCUACUAACCUCCUGUGUGCCCCUCCCAGCUCUCUCAGGAUACCCUGAGUGCAGGGAAAUGAGAGAGACCCUCCCUGAGAAACCAGGUGAGUACAGGGUUGUCUCAGGGAUCCAGUGAUGGCUCACCAGGGCUGCCGGCUGGACUGCGCCAGCGAGAAGGGGCUUGUGCGAGUUCAGCUGGGAGCCAGGGAGGGAGCAGCGGUGGGAGGAUGGCCGGGGCUUAAAUCGCUUGGUCAGCUCUGAGUCUAACUCCUGGGCCUAAAGAUGACCUCUCUGGAGAUGAGAAGAGAAACACCAGUCCCAGAUACAGAGGAGAGGGCUGUGUUCAAAUUUCUGGUACCAGGAAUCUGAUGAUAUUUCCAGAGCAGGAAAUCAGAGAUACUUUGGUCUUUCUGUGGAGCUUUGGCAGAGCUGGCAGAGGAUGGGGUUAGGGGCUGUAAGACUGAGGCCAAUCGGAUGUGGGAGGCAGGAGUCUAAGGGGAAAGGAGGAGGAGGCCUGGAAACCCCUCGAUUUGCUGAGGAAUCUGCCUCUGUGGAAGGAUGGGGUGGAGUGGCCAGGCUCAGCUGUCUGUGGAACACUAAGAGGAGGUUUGGGCUUGAGAAAAUUCUGGGGGACUAGGGGCACUAGUGGGCUCUACUCUGUGGGCAAAACUCGGUUCUGAUGCCCAUGCACUCAAGGUUGACUGCAUUUUGGCCUGGUUCUGCCCCCAUCACACAGUGGAGCCUUGAGCAAGUCAGUCUCCCUGAUGGGGUUCAGUCUCCUCACUGAGGAAAUGAGUGGGUGGCCAAGGUGACCUCUCAGGCCUUCUAGGUCUGACAUUCAGGUGGGAGUGUGUAAAGGAACUUCCAGGAGGAUGCCAGGCAACUUCCAGACUGUAGUUAAAGUCAGAGCAUAAAGGAAACCAGGGCUUUCUCCGGGGGUUUCCAUGACAGUAGGAACAGGCAGGAAAAAGGCUGUCAAAGACCCCACCUCAGAUGGCUGGAGUAUGAUUCAGAGCAGAGCCAACAGAUUUAAGAGCUUGAGCAAAAUAUCACUUGUUCAGCUGUGCUUGCAGUAAGGUUGCACGUCCGCUGGCCAGGCCCAGUGGUGAUAGGGGCCUGUGUUCACACCAGGGCCAAAGCAGAUCUGGAAAAAACAAAGUCCAAGUAACUGGAUUAUCCGUCUUGUUGUGUGGUUCUGUCUACACUGGCAUAAGCGCAUUUGAUGAGGCAUUUUUGCAGCCAGGCAUUGGGGCUGCAUAAAUGGUUUCUUAAAAAUCCUUUCCCAAAAGGCAAAGCUGGGUUGCUAGAAUUGUUGGGGAAUGUAUUAGAAUGGGAAUUCAGAAUGUGGUUUGCUGCAGAAUUUACAGCAUGGCAAUAAAGGCUCUCUGUGUUCAGGGGGUGAGAGAAGAGACUAGAUGCAUUGUCUCAGAUGUCUCCCGACUUCCUGAGAAAUGCCACUUUGCAAAUACUGGGGCUGCUUUUCACACUGGCAAAAUCAGUUUAUGACAAAAACAUGAGGCAAUUAGGUGUGUUUUGGACACUAACCAGAGAAAGUCCUUUCUUCCCUCCCUCCCUCCCUCCUUCCCUCCCUCCCUCCCUCUCUCCCUUUUUAAUGCCAUGGAGUACUAUAUUCUUCAAAGUUCCAACAAAGAUGCACUACAUUUGGACAAUGUGGAAAUGGCCCUCAGCCUUCUCUUCCUGAUGUGGUCAGCAAAAAUCUGGACUUUACUUCACUCUGAUGCUGAACACCCUGCUCCACGUCUUCCCCAGUAUCUCAGAUCCCCAAGCUGUCUGGUUUGCUUCUAGGAAAGCUCAGCAAUUCCCUGAAAAGAGUGUGGCCCAAGUGACUGCUUCCCUCCACCAGUGUGGCCCGUGGGGAAGGCUGUGGCUGGGUGACCCCAAGGGUGGGUACAUGAGGCCAUAUUUACUUAGCCCUUGGCCUUACAGGACUGUGUCAAGGGGUCAGUAGUCCUUGCUUUGAGUCUGGUUAUGGUUUUGCAGCCUCAGCAUCAGCAUGGGCAGGCCCUUUUCAACAGCAGUGCCCUGGCUAAUCUUUUUCUUUUUCCCCACAGCCAAUUCCACUGAUCCUGUGAAGGCUGCCCAGUUUGAG
rnacentral:sRNA from 1 species